rnacentral:rRNA from 1 species
AGAAUCAACGCUGGCGGCGUGCCUAACACAUGCAAGUCGCACGAGAAAGGGGAGCAAUCCCUGAGUAAAGUGGCGCACGGGUGAGUAACACGUGAAUCAUCUACCUCCGAGUGGGGAAUAACCUAGAGAAAUCUGGGCUAAUACCGCAUAACACUUACGAGUCAAAGCAGCAAUGCGCUUGGAGAGGAGUUCGCGGCCGAUUAGCUAGUUGGCGGGUAAUGGCCCACCAAGGCGAUGAUCGGUA